rnacentral:rRNA from 1 species
AUUGAACGCUGGCGGCAGGCCUAACACAUGCAAGUCGAGCGGAUGAAGGGAGCUUGCUCCUGGAUUCAGCGGCGGACGGGUGAGUAAUGCCUAUGAAUCUGCCUGGUAGUGGGGGAUAACGUCCGGAAACGGGCGCUAAUACCGCAUACGUCCUGAGGGAGAAAGUGGGGGAUCUUCGGACCUCACGCUAUCAGAUGAGCCUAGGUCGGAUUAGCUAGUUGGUGGGGUAAAGGCCUACCAAGGCGACGAUCCGUAACUGGUCUGAGAGGAUGAUCAGUCACACUGGAACUGAGACACGGUCCAGACUCCUACGGGAGGCAGCAGUGGGGAAUAUUGGACAAUGGGCGAAAGCCUGAUCCAGCCAUGCCGCGUGUGUGAAGAAGGUCUUCGGAUUGUAAAGCACUUUAAGUUGGAAGGAAGGGCAGUAAGUUAAUACCUUGCUGUUUUGACGUUACCAACAGAAUAAGCACCGGCUAACUUCGUG